CACGUAGGGUGCAAGCGUUGUCCGGAAUUAUUGGGCGUAAAGGGCUCGUAGGCGGUCCGUCACGUCGGGCGUGAAAACUCGGGGCUCAACCCCGAGCCUGCUUUCGAUACGGGCGGACUAGAGGUAGGUAGGGGAGAACGGAAUUCCUGGUGUAGCGGUGAAAUGCGCAGAUAUCAGGAGGAACACCGGUGGCGAAGGCGGAUCUCUGGGCCUUACCUGACGCUGAGGCGCGAAAGCUAGGGGAGCAAACGGG
rnacentral:rRNA from 1 species